UGGGGAAUUUUGCACAAUGGGGGAAACCCUGAUGCAGCGACGCCGCGUGAUUUAGAAGGCCUUCGGGUUGUAAAAAUCUUUUUUAUGGGAUGAAAAUGACAGUACCAUAAGAAUAAGGUCCGGCUAAAUACGUGCCAGCAGCCGCGGUAAUACGUAUGGACCGAGCGUUGUCCGGAAUCAUUGGGCGUAAAGGGUACGUAGGCGGCCCAGUAAGUUAGAAGUGAAAUAAUAUAGCUCAACUAUAUAAAGCUUUUAAAACUGCUAGGCUUGAGAGAUGGAAGGGAAAGUGGAAUUCCUAGUGUAGCGAUGAAAUGCGCAGAUAUUAGGAAGAAUACCGGUGGCGAAGGCGACUUUCUGGUCAUCAUCUGACGCUGAGGUACGAAAGCGUGGGUAGCAAACAGG
rnacentral:rRNA from 1 species